rnacentral:rRNA from 1 species
CGUACAAGCAGUGGGAGCACCCUUUUGGGUGUGACUGCGUACCUUUUGUAUAAUGGGUCAGCGACUUAUAUUCUGUAGCAAGGUUAACCGCAUAGGGGAGCCGUAGGGAAACCGAGUCUUAACCGGGCGUUAAGUUGCAGGGUAUAGACCCGAAACCCGGUGAUCUAGCCAUGGGCAGGUUGAAGGUUGGGUAACACUAACUGGAGGACCGAACCGACUAAUGUUGAAAAAUUAGCGGAUGACCUGUGGCUGGGGGUGAAAGGCCAAUCAAACCGGGAGAUAGCUGGUUCUCCCCGAAAGCUAUUUAGGUAGCGCCUCGUGAAUUCAUCUCCGGGGGUAGAGCACUGUUUCGGCUAGGGGGCCAUCCCGGCUUACCAACCCGAUGCAAACUGCGAAUACCGGAGAAUGUUAUCACGGGAGACACACGGCGGGUGCUAACGUCCGUCGUGAAGAGGGAAACAACCCAGACCGCCAGCUAAGGUCCCAAAGUCAUGGUUAAGUGGGAAACGAUGUGGGAAGGCCCAGACAGCCAGGAUGUUGGCUUAGAAGCAGCCAUCAUUUAAAGAAAGCGUAAUAGCUCACUGGUCGAGUCGGCCUGCGCGGAAGAUGUAACGGGGCUAAACCAUGCACCGAAGCUGCGGCAGCGACACUCAGGUGUUGUUGGGUAGGGGAGCGUUCUGUAAGCCUGUGAAGGUGUGUCGUGAGGCAUGCUGGAGGUAUCAGAAGUGCGAAUGCUGACAUAAGUAACGAUAAAGCGGGUGAAAAGCCCGCUCGCCGGAAGACCAAGGGUUCCUGUCCAACGUUAAUCGGGGCAGGGUGAGUCGACCCCUAAGGCGAGGCCGAAAGGCGUAGUCGAUGGGAAACGGGUUAAUAUUCCCGUACUUGGUGUUACUGCGAAGGGGGGACGGAGAAGGCUAUGUUGGCCGGGCGACGGUU